UCGAAACCCUAAAAAAUUCACUUAAGGAAGCUUUGUCAUAGUUCCAGUGUUUCGUCUUCUUUGAUCUUUGUGCGAGGACAAAAAAUUGCUGCAUCCUCGGGAACCCAGGGGUAAACUUCUGGGCUCGUUUCUCGCAUAUCUUUUCAAAUUGUGAUGUAGGUUACACGCUGUAAUGCUGAGAAAACUGCUCCGUGUAAUCGCGCGCGCCUUUACUCAUCCAUGCAAGAAUCAGCACAUUGGUUGUCAUUAACAUAGAACAGUUCAGUUUUAAAACUUUUCAAGCGCAUACAGUGAGAAUAGAGUGCGUUACGUGAUGAGUUUCGUGACUGUCACAUCGAGGGUAAGCUCAGCUAACCAGCUUGAGUAAGAGUAAAUACCAUUGAACACUGAAAUAAUUCAAGAAUCAAUAUCGAUAGAUCUAUAGACACGGUGUCUUUAUUUUGUCUUCAACUAAAAUUUAAACUGACAAAGACCUUGACACGCACCAUGGGAGAUCGACUCAAAUCUGAGUCAUUUACGUAACAUAACCUGUCAUGCUUUUCCUACGCGUGUGGACAAAGCCAUGAAGCCUAAAUACUCAGUGGGAUAGACUGAACUCUCAUGUGGAUGGACCAUGCAUUAGAUAAUUGAUGGGGGAAGGGGUGGGGUAGCAGGAAUCCAUUCUGCUAGAUAUUUAUUUUUUUGUAACCCUGGCAUGCAAUUGUAUUGUGUUUGCUCGAUAUUUCUUUAGUGAAAGUAUAGAUACUGCGCGAUAUUGCAAUUGCUUUUCGUAUGCUUGCUCGAUAAAUUUUUUGCCUGUGGAUUUGCGCAACCUCCCGCCCCCCUUCUCCCCCAUCAAGACCUAAUGGUCCGUCACGCUAAUCAUAAUAUUGAAGCUGCCAGUUUUCUCGUGCGUUUCUUGGGGGUGGGGUGGGUAUGUCACGUAUUAAGGGGCGUUCUCAUGUUAAGGCUAGAGGCGUACGUGCCUACUCCAUCAGCCACAGAUGGAAAAGAAGUUGUACAAAAAACGGUGUCAAAGUGCAAAAUUAAACACGACUUUAAAGCCCA